UACGUAGGGGGCGAGCGUUGUCCGGAUUUAUUGGGCGUAAAGAGCUCGUAGGCGGUUCGAUAAGUCGGAUGUGAAAUCUCCACGCUCAACGUGGAGGGGCCAUUCGAUACUGUCGUGACUCGAGUCCGGUAGGGGAGUGUGGAAUUCCCGGUGUAGCGGUGAAAUGCGCAGAGAUCGGGAGGAACACCCGUAGCGAAGGCGGCACUCUGGCCGGUACUGGACGCUGAGGCGCGAAAGCAUGGGGAGCGAACGGGG
rnacentral:rRNA from 1 species